rnacentral:rRNA from 1 species
AUUGAACGCUGGCGGCAGGCCUAACACAUGCAAGUCGAGCGAGCGGCGGACGGGUGAGUAAUGUAUGGGGAUCUGACCGAUAGAGGGGGAUAAGUACUGGAAACGGUGGCCAAUACCGCAUACUAUAGGAUGAAACCAAGUGGGAUUAGCUAGUAGGUGGGGUAAAGGCUCACCUAGGCGACGAUCUCUAGCUGGUCUGAGAGGAUGAUCAGCCACACUGCGACUGAGACACGGCCCAGACUCCUACGGGAGGCAGCAGUGGGGAAUAUUGCACAAUGGGCGAAAGCCUGAUGCAGCCAUGCCGCGUGUAUGAAGAAGGCCUUCGGGUUGUAAAGUUCUUUCAGCGGGGAGGCGUUACCCGCAGAAGAAGCACCGGCUAACUCCGUGCCAGCAGCCGCGGUAAUAC